rnacentral:rRNA from 1 species
UACGUAGGCAGCGAGCGUUGUUCGGAGUUACUGGGCGUAAAGGGUGUGUAGGCGGUUGUUUAAGUUUGGUGUGAAAUCUCCCGGCUCAACUGGGAGGGUGCGCCGAAUACUGAAUGACUUGGAGUGCGGGAGAGGUGAGUGGAAUUCCUGGUGUAGCGGUGAAAUGCGUGGAUAUCAGGAGGAACACCGGUGGUGUAGACGGCUCACUGGACCGUAACUGACGCUGAGACACGAAAGCGUGGGUAGCAAACAGG